ACGGAUAACACCGUGAGCCAUUGA
rnacentral:siRNA from 1 species